rnacentral:misc_RNA from 1 species
GGAUGAUUGAAGCAGCUGCAGCUUGCGUGCGUCAUUCAGGCUCUAAGAGGCCACGGAUGAGUCAGGUGGUUAGAGCUCUAGAUUCCAUGGAUGAAUUGUCAGAUCUGUCCAAUGGAGUGAAACCUGGACAAAGUGGAAUUUUUGAGUCAAGGGAACAAUCUGCACAGAUAAGAAUGUUUCAAAAGAUGGCAUUUGGAAGUCAAGAGUACAGUUCAGAUUUCUUCAAUUAUUCCCAAGGCAGCUAUAAGAGUUGAGUUCUCAAUGGCUCAUUACCAAAAUAAUUGCCCAUGAAAAGCGUUU